rnacentral:rRNA from 1 species
CAGUCGCCGCGGGAAUACGUAGGGUGCAAGCGUUAAUCGGAAUUACUGGGCGUAAAGCGUGCGCAGGCGGUUUGUUAAGACAGAUGUGAAAUCCCCGGGCUCAACCUGGGAACUGCAUUUGUGACUGGCAAGCUAGAGUAUGGCAGAGGGGGGUGGAAUUCCGCGUGUAGCAGUGAAAUGCGUAGAUAUGCGGAGGAACACCGAUGGCGAAGGCAGCCCCCUGGGCCAAUACUGACGCUCAUGCACGAAAGCGUGGGGAGCAAACAGGAUUAGAUACCCGAGUAGUCCCUGUCUCUUAUAC